rnacentral:rRNA from 1 species
CUACGGGAGGCUGCAGUGGGGAAUAUUGGACAAUGGACCAAAAGUCUGAUCCAGCAAUUCUGUGUGUUUGAUGAAGGCCUUCGGGUUGUAAAGAACUUUAAGUAGGGAAGAAGAAAGUGACGGUACCUACAGAAUAAGCGACGGCUAAAUACGUGCCAGCAGCCGCGGUAAUACGUAUGUCGCAAGCGUUAUCCGGAAUUAUUGGGCAUAAAGCGCGUCUAGGCGGUUUAUUAAGUCUGAUGUGAAAAUGCGGGGCUCAACUCCGUAUUGCGUUGGAAACUGGUAGACUAGAGUAUUGGAGAGGUAGGCGGAACUACAAGUGUAGAGGUGAAAUUCGUAGAUAUUUGUAGGAAUGCCAAUUGGGAAGCCAGCUUACUGGACAAAUACUGACGCUGAAGCGCGAAAGCUAGGGGAGCAAACAGGAUUAGAUACCCGAGUAGUC